UCUAAUAUGGCAGAUUAGUGCCUUGGAUUUAAAUCCCAAUUAUAAGUUUAACUUUUUUAGAA
rnacentral:tRNA from 1 species